UUCUGUAGUGUAGUUUGUGUCCCGAUAACACAAGGCUGGUGCAUAUGGACGUGGUGACGUGCACGUGGCAUGAGACCGUGUCAGUGUCGAAUAUUCAUGAGAAAAGUUAGUGUGGAAAGCACUCGAUAUAAUCAAUGUGAUGACUCUUGCAAGAACAACCCACGCGUGUCAGGAUAUGCAGUGGAAGUUCAAUAAUAUGACUCAGGUUAAACAUCUCUUCGCGCUGACACUAAAAUAAAAGACUUAAAAAAUAGAAAACAAACUGGGAGGUUUUCUUGUUCCUCGUGUCACAGAACCAAUCAUGGCAGCUGUAGCAACACCGCCACCUUAUUCCAGUCCCUCUGCUCCUCCUUAUUCUAGUUAUAUGCAGGUUCCUUGUGACGUAUCUCAUGGUAGCAACGCUCCCAACAAAACCAAGGACUUGUAUCUUAAAAUUGCUUUACCGCUCCGCCGCCUCCUUGUCCAUCGGGGCGCCAGCGGUGUUCCCUCCUGGAUGGACAAAGUGCUUGCUGCUCGCAGUUAUUAGUCUGUUGUACACUUUGUGAGGUGUGUUUCAGGCGUUCAGCGUCAAUUGAACAUUUGAUCUAGCAAAGUUUAGUUGUUGUUUUUUUUGUGACACUGCGAAGCUAUCAUCAUAUCAGUCCAUGGUCUGUUGAAGUAGAUUGUAGGCCAUGUGUGUAUAUAUAUAUAUGUAAAUAUAAACGCAGAAUAUUCUGCCAUGUGAACGCUAUAGGCCUAUUUGAUAGAAUUGAUAUAUACAUAUAUACAUAUAUGUAUAUUUCUUUUCUCACACACAUACACCUUAUAAUAAUCAGAAGUUGUAAAUACACGUCCAAUAUAAAUGUGAACUUUAAUUAAAGGUUGUAAGAUCACGUUGUUGUUUUGUUUACUUUCAUAAUUGUUGUUUUAUUACCAUUGCAGCUUUAUAAUACAAAAUGUGAAAUUCUUGGAAUUAAUAAAGUCUAUAACAAACGAA
rnacentral:lncRNA from 1 species